GGGAGCACGGCGCCGUCCAAAUUAGCGGCCAGCUGAUGCAUAUCGGUGUAGAUCGUCGUCGUCGUGGUGCCGUAUGACGACGUUGAGCUGAGGGAUUGAUCGCUGCUCCAUUGGAACCCUAGCUCCUGCAUCAUCAACACCGUGCUGAGCUGAGCCUGAGGGGGGUUCAAGGUCGGAGCAGAAGCUAGCUGACUGUAAUGGUGGCCUUGAACUGAGAGGAGUGACUCAAGCUCAGGUUGAUGCAGAUGUCAAAACAUCCGUGACAGGUUGAUGCAGAUGUCAAGUCGUUCAUUCAUAUGUGUUAUGUUACAUAAAGGCCGGCCGCCUGGAUCAAAAUGGACUAGCCCUAAACUUAAAAUGAACCAUAUAUGUACAUGCUACGUACGCGGGCUCAUUCAUGUAUGCAGUUAAGCUAAAAAGACUACUCUAGUCAAGCUAACUGGUAAGAUAUGAGAUCCUCGUCUUUUCGCUUUUGCUCUUGCUUAU